AUGUUGUCUUUGUUCUGGAGAUUGUGUCAUCGCCUGGAUGCCGGGAAUAAAGUGCGACCCUGUGUGUGAUCGGGUGUGUAACGUGUGCGGCCGGGGCUAAGGGCGCUUCUGUCCAUACCAUCAGUGCCUGCGCGCAGGAGCCACACGCGGGACCCUGGGCUCGCGAGGGGUCCGUUCUUGUUUUAGAUUCGCCAGAAGGCAUUAAAUGACCUGUGUGUGUGUGUGUGUGUGUGUGCGCGCGCGCGCGCGUGUGAGACAACACACGCGCACACCGUGCGAACGGGCUCUUGAAUAUGGACGGUGAGAAUCUGGGCAUGAAGGGUGACGAACUGUAACCACACACGAAAUACGUGUGAUGGCGCGCAAGUGUGAAAGCAUUUAUGGAGUUUCACUGUUGUUACCCAGGCUGGAAUGCAAUGUCACGAUCUCGGCUCACCGCAACCUCCGCCUUCUGGGUUCAAGCAGUUCUCCUGCCUCAGCUUCCCAAGCUCAUUUGAAGCCCUUCGUGUACAUGGAUCCAGUUAAUCUUCACAGUCACCGUGAGAGGUAGGUAGUAUUAUUGUCCUCAUUUUAUUUGAUUUGAUUUUUUUGAGAUACGGCCUCAAAAAAAGCUGAGAUAGCUUACUACAGCCUCAACCUCCUGGUUCAAGUGAGCCUGGUCCUCAGCCUCCUGAGUAGCUUUGACUACAGGUGCACGCCACCAACGACCUGCUAAUUUUUGUAUUUUUGGUAGAGGUGGGUUUUCACCAUGUUGGCCAGGCUGGUCUCGAAGUCCUGACCUCAUGAUCUGCCCACCUCAGCCUCCCAAACUGCUGGGAUUACUGGUGUGAGCCACCACACCCGGUCCGUAGAUUUGUUCUCUUUCUUCUGGGAUGACUGAGGUGAUGAGAUGCCAGCUAAAGAUUAUAUGUUGCCUUCCUGAAAUAUAUACUUGGCCCCCUGCAGGGAUUGCAUUUGAAAGUCAGUUCUCCACCCUCACGAAUGGCAAUUCCGGGGCCUCAAACCCUAGUCCUAUGUUCUCUUUUCACUUCUCUAACUCAAAACACUAUUCCAGGCUUUCAUUUGCAACUUCCAAUAUAUUUUUUUGUCAAUUUCCAAGCACUUUGAAUUUAACCUUUUGAAAUAGAACUCCUUCUCGUUCCUUCGAAACACAUCUGCUCCUGAUUUCCUUGGCUUGUUUGUGGUUUGAGUGGGAUCACCCCACUUCCCAGGUUCAGUAGUGGGCAAAUAUCCUGAGUCCGGCCAGUCCCAGCAGAACAGCCCCAGGUCACAGGGAUUGGUCUGGGGGAGGGGAAUGUAGUCUCAGACGGGAUAAGGGGGAAUCUCCAAAAACAUUUCGGGGAAUGGCAUAAGCCACCGCACCAGGCUUGAUUUUUUUUUAAUCAUCUGACUUUUAGAUUCAUCUUUCUUACAUUCAUAGCCACCUCUAUGCAUGGGGUCCUGACAGCCUUCGCUGGGGCUGGACUGAGCCCGGAUCUGCACACUUGCCGCCACGCUGUGCUGCAGUGGGACUGCUAGUCCUCCUUGAACGUUCCUCAGCCCCUGCAGGCCACCACGCUCCUGAGAGGCGAUUUCCAACCCCAGCGUGUACUCAGCCACCACACUCCCCAUAGGUGGCUGCCACGGCCCCUCCUGGGACAGCAGCUCAGCCAAGUCCUUCUGCAGAAAGCCUGGGCCAAGCGAGGGACCACCUGCCUGGGAUGAGGGCAGUCAAGGAUAAGGUCACAGGAGCUGAGGACAUAGCCUCAGGAGUUCAAUUUACCGCACCGGGUGGUACAUUGCACAGGUGAGGGGCAGGUCCUGUCUCCAACUCUGGGCUGCAUUUAGUCGCUAAAGGUGCAGAGCCAGGCCCCGUAGGCCCCACGGUCCUCAUGAAAACCAUUCAUCUGGCUCCUCCCGACACCCUUCCACCUGGCCCAGGACACUCCCAAGCUCUUCCUUCCCUCUGCCCGAUCCCCAUUUUUUUUCCUGGCAAACCUAAAAAAAAAAAACCAAAAACCAAAAAACAAAACACCAGGCGCGGUGGCUCACACCUGUAAUCCCAGCACUUUGGGAGGCUGAAGCGGGCAGAUCACCUGAGCGCAGGAGUUCAAGACCAGCCUGGCCAACGUGGUGAAACCCCGUCUCUACAAAAAUACAAAAAUCAGCCGGGCAUGGUGGCGGGUGCCUGUAAUCCCAGCUACUUGGGAGGCUGAGGCAGGAGAAUCACUUGAACCAGGAAGGCAGAGGUUGCAGUGAGCUGAAAUUGCACCACUGCACUCCAACCUGGGCGACAUAGUGAGACUCUGUCUAAAAAACAAAACAAAACAAAAAAACAGAAAAACUCAAUGAACAAAAGUUAACUGGAGACCCUUGUUUGUGAACCAGUGAGAGGGACAGUGGGUGAGGAAGCUGCUGUGGUAUCCUGAGGACUUUUUGUGGAUAAGGCACUGGGCCAGGGGCUGGGGCCCUGAGGUUUAACUCCUCCCAGGUCUAGAGAGGUCCAUCCUACCCCUGCUGCCAGGGAAGGGGCCCUUCCUCUGCUCUACAGUGCCCUGGGUCUAGGAACUGUCUGAUUCACUGCCAGGAAACCCUCUCCUUGAGAUGUUUCUUCAGAGGUCAUCCUAGAGCUUGCUAAAUGCUUUCGUCCUAGGCCGGCUGUGUGGCUGCUGGUCUGUGGAAUGAGAAAGUGUCUCCUCUCCUCUGGCUACUGGGAGAGCAUAUAAAAUAAACAUGAUUUAAAAAGCCAGUGCCCACAGAAGACACAGAUGAAAUGUAAAAAAAAAAAAAAGAAAGAAAGAAAAAUAAAAUAAAAAUAAACAACCCCCCAGACACCCCAGGUCCCCAAGCUGGGUGGGAUAUGCAGCAAGCCAGUUUGUGGUGACAUUUAUAUACGGGGCUUGGUUCCUCCCUCGGGCAAGUCAAGCAAGUUGUAAAAUUUGAAAGCACAUUUUAAAAUUGUUUAAACUCCUCCAAAUGUGUUUCCUGUCUGGCACCAUGGAUGGGUUGUUGGUAAUACGCGUGCGUGUGUGGCCUGGAGGACGAGUUAAUGACUGGAUUUAGAGGCAGAGAGGCCGAAGAGCCGGCAAGAAGCAGGGGCAAGAAAAGGGGUCUGUUUUUGUCAGGGUGUGUGUUCCCAGUGUUGGAAUGUGCGGAAGGGGCCUCUGGACCUGCGAGGGUGGUUUAGUCUGGGAAAUUAGCAUCUUUUUAAAAGCCACUCUUUUAUAAAUCAUUAGCUAAAGGCCUUCAGGGCUAAUAAUACAGGUAUGUGGUUGUGACUUCUAAAGGGAGCAGGUGUGCUAAUAUUUGACAAGACAUCAUAAUUAGACUAGAGCGACAUGCAGGCUGAUAAAUUAGAUGGUGAUGAUUAGACCCCCGCACAUGGUGGCCUCUACCUUUGCCUAAGCUGUUCCCUCUGCCUGGGAUGCCUUCACCAGCUGUCAAAUCCCACUCAGGCUUCCCAGCCUGGCUCCGUACCAUCUCCCCACAGAGCGAAUUAAUCACUCUCUCUUCUGGGCCCCUGUGACAUUUUGUCUCUUACAAUGUUGACUUUGUUCUUUCUCUUCUGAAAUUUAGCUGAAUAUGUGUCCCUUCCCGUCACAAGUCCUUUGAGGACCAGAACUUGUCUUGGCUGUUGUCUUCCCUGCAGCUUCGUGCCCAGGGUGGGAUCUUGGUUAAUGUUUGUUGAAUUAAACUUCUUCUUUUUUUAAGGGAAUUACUUUGCAGAAAAUAAAAACCCCAUAUUGACAUGGACCCAUCUUGGUAAAAGCCAUUACACUUAAGUAUUUCAUUUCCUUUUUUUUUUUUUUUUUUGAGACACAGUCUUACUCUGCUGCCCAGGCUGGAGUGCAGUGGCAUGAUCUUGGCUCACUGCAACCUCCACCUCCCGGGUUCAAGCAAGUCUCCUGCUUCAGCCUCCCAAGUAGCUGGGACUACAGUCAUGUGGCACCAAGCCCAGCUAAUUUUUUAUUUUUAGUAGAGACACGGUUUCACCAUUUGGCCAGGCUGGUCUCGAACUCUUGACCAGUGUGAGCCGCCACGCCCAGACUGUUUCUCAUUUUAACAUUCCCACUUCACAAAGCAGCAUUUUGGGUGCCUCUGAAUGAUUCAUGUGAAUGAAGUGUUCUUUCCAUGCUCAGUCCUGUGUUCCACCCGGCCCCAGAAGCCACCACAGAAAACAGUGCCCAGUGGCUGGUGUGGCACCAUCCUUCAUCAAUCAGGUGCCAGGAAACUUCAUAAUAAAGAUGAAUUUGCCACAGAUUUUUCUUACCCCUCAUAAAUGCUAUUGCCAGACAAAAGAUUUCCUUGCAAGACAGAUAGUAUGUAUCACAACAAAAUAAAACCACAUUUUCUUCAAAUUGUAUUUUUAAUUCCAUCAGUUCUAAAUUUAACACAAUCAUUUCUAUAUUUUGGUGUUUGUUUUUAGACAGGGUCUCGCUCUGUAACGGAGACUGGAGAGCAGUGGCAUGACCUGCGCUCACUGCAGCCUUAACCUCCUGUGCUGAAGCAGUCCUCCUACCUCAGCUUCCCAAGCAGCUGGGACUACAGGCGCGCACCACCACGCCCGGCUAAUUUUUAAAUUUUCUGUAGAGAUGAUGGUAUCACUAUGUUUCCCAGGCUGGUGUCAAACCUCUGGGCUCAGACGAUCCUCCCAAAGUGCUGAGAUUACAGGCUGGAGCCGCCGCAUCAGCCUACAUCUAUACUCCAAAUGACGUAAAGUUCAGAGCAUGAAACAUUUUUAAAUACUUAAGUGUAGGUCAGGUGCGGUGGCUCCCGCCUGUAAUUCCAACAUUUUGGGAGGCUGAGGCAGGCAGAAUAUGAAGUCAGGAGAUCGAUAUCAGUCUGGCUAACACGGUAAAACCCUGUGUCUACUAAAAAUAUAAACAAUUAGCCAGGUGUGUUGGCACGUGCCUGUAGUCCCAGCUACUUGGGAGGCCGAGGCAGGAGACUCUCUUGAACCCGGGAGGCGGAGGUUGCAGUGAGCUAAGAUCAUCCAACUGCACUCCAGCCUGGUGACAAUGCGAGAUUCCAUCUAAAUGAAAGAGAGAGAGAGAGAAAGAAAGAAAGAAAAAAAAGAAAGAAAAGAAAGAGGCUAGGCACGGUGGCUCAGGCCUGUAAUCCCAGUACUUUGGGAGGCAGAGGUGGACAAUCACCUGACUUUGGGAGAUUGAGACCAAGCUGACCAACAUGGAGAAACCCCAUCUCUACUAAAAACACAAAAUUAGGUGAGUAUGGUGGCGCAUGCCUAUAAUCCCAGCUACUCGGGAGGCUGAGGCAGGAGAAUCACUUCAACCAGGGAGGUGGAGGUUGCAGUGAGCCGAAAUCCCACCAUUGCACUCCAGCCUGGGCAAAGAGAGUAAAACUCUGUCUAAAAAAAAAAAAAUAGUUGGGUGUGGUGGCGUGCACCUGUAAUCCCAGCUACUUGGGAAGCUGAGGCAGGAGAAUUGCCUGAACCUGGAAGGCAGAGGUUGCAGUGAGCCGACAUUGCGUCACUGCACUCCAGCCUGGGAAACAGAAUGAGACUCCAUCAAAAAGAAAGAGAGAGAGAGAGCGAGAGAAAGGAAGGAGAAAGAAAAAGAAAAGAUAGAGGCCCUGUAGAACCGUGGUACUCAACAGUGGGCCUGUAUGGGAACAGCACUGAGGCAGGUGGGUGCUGGGCUCUAACGUGAAGGUUCAUGCCCUUCUGCUUUGCUUCCCUGUUGCCCUCAGGAUGUGGUACAUGGGAAGAAACAGGUGCUUAGGGACCAGGCAGACCCAGGGUUUAAAUCCUAACUUGCAGUGGCCUUCAGUCUCAGUGCCCUCGUCUAUAAAGUGAAAAGAAUAAUAAAUACCUCACAGGGAUUUGUGGCACUUGUAAACUGCCCGGCACAGCACCUGGCAGAUGUAAGAGCACGGGCAUGUUAGCUCUCCCUCUCAGCCUGGCAGGCUCCCCUCCGACCUCUCCCGGAAGUCCGUCUACACCGCCCUUUCUUCAGAUUAGGCUGACUUCGUAAAUGAAAAUAUGGGAUACCCAGUUAAAUCUGAAUUGCAGGUAAAUAAGAAAUCUUUUUUUGGUAUUAGGUAUGUCCAAUCCAAUAUUCGAGACAUAUGCUAAAAAAAGAUUCAUUGUUUACCUGAAAUUCAAGUUCAAAUGGGAGUUCCGCAGUUUAUCUGGCAACACUACGCUAAGUUCCACGUCUCCCAGGAAGGGCAGCUUGGUGAUGGCUCCACCCUCUGAACUCCUGUAGCCUUUCGUGACUUUGACACUUUCCCGACACCCAGGAAGCAACACAUUUUUACUUAUUUAUUUAUUUAGAGACGGAGUCUUGCUCUAUGGCCAGGCUGGAGUGCGGUGGCAUGAUCCCAGCUCACUGCAACCUCCACCUCCCAGGUUCAAGCGAUUCUCCUGCCUCAGCCUACUGAGUAGCUGGGAUUACAGGCACGCACCAUCAUGCCCAACCAAUUUUUGCAUUUUUAGUAGAGACAGGGUUUCACCAUGUUGGCCAGGAUGGUCUCAAUCUCUUGACCUUGUGAUCCACCCGCCUUGGCCUCCCAAAGUGCUGGGAUUACAGGCAUGAGCCACCACGCCUGGCCACACACUUUUACUUUUUUUUUUUUUCUUUUAAAACAGAGUUUCACCAUGUUGGCCAGGCUGGUCUAGAACUCCUGACCUGGUGAUCCACCCGCCUCAGCCUCCCAAAGUGCUGGGAUUACAGGCGUGAGCCACCACUCCUGGUCAUACUUUUACUUAUUGGUAAUAAUAACUAUGACAACUUGUUAAGCAUCUACCAUAUACCAGACACGUGGGAGCUUCAUACAGUCUGUUGCAUUAACCCUCACAGUAACCUCUAAGGCUGGAAGGAGUGUCACCUUGGGAGCCCUAGAGUGUCAGUGGUGCCCAGCUGGCACACGGUGGCAUUGUACUUCAGGCUCAAGUCUGCAGGACUGAACUCCAAAGCCCACACUGUGGCACCUGGUGGGUGUGAGUGAGACUGCCCCAAGGCCUCUGCCAGUGCCCGGCACACAGUGGCAUCUGCUCGAUUUAUGGAGAUACAGAGUGACGUUCCAAAGCAGCAACACCAGCCUCAGAAUUGAUCUGGGGAAUCUCGGGAUUGUGAUCUGUCCUAAACCACAUUAUGGCAAAGACAUGGGUUUUCAGACAAGAACAGGAAAGUUUCUAAACUUCCAGAAAGUUCUAGAGGGCUGCCUGUUUGCUUUCGUGUGUGGAUCACUCCAGCAUUGCUGCCUGAAGUAUUGUGACACCGGCCCCAGAGCAAAGUCCUCCUUGAUAUGGCUUGGCACAUGAUGUGACGUGUGACGUGCUGUGCAUGUGGUGUGUGACAGAGGGCUGGGGCUGGUCGGGACUGAAGACAUCCAUAUUUCUUUUUUUUUUUUUGAUGGAGUUUCCCUCUUGUUGCCCGGGCUGGAGUGCAACCUUUGCCUUCCAGGUUCAAGCGUUUCUACUGCCUCAUCCUCCCAAGUAACUGGCAUUACAGGCCUGCACCACCAAGCCCAGCUAAGUGUGUGUGUGUGUGUGUGUGUGUGUGUGUGUGUGUGUAUUUUUAGUAAAGACGGGGUUUUGCCAUGUUGGCCAGGCUGGUAUUGAACUCCUGACCUCAGGUGAUCCACCCGCCUCUGCCUCCCAAAGUGCUGGGAUUAUAGGUGUGAGCCACCGCCCCCAGCAGACAUCCAUAUUUCUAUAAGAGUUUUUGGUUCAAGUUUGGAAAUCAGCUGCGUGCAACUGUAGUCCUCUUUGGAGGGGAUGUUCAGCAUAAGUAAGCAGCCCUUUCUGAUGCCUGAUCCCCGUGGAUGUGCUUCACCCGGACACAGAGGACCUGGGCGUGAAGAUCCCCCACUCCUGGGGCCGGGGGCAGGAUAGGUUUAUGGUUACCAAAUGGAAAUGCAGCUCCUUCUGUUGUUCGGACCUCACUUGUCAUAUUAAUGUUACUUCCUUGCUUGGCUUCAAAGUUAGACAAAUGCAGGAUGGUCAAGCCCAUCCAGUUCCCGGGAAAGAAAUGGCUGUGAUGAGCGGGCCUGGGAGCAGCUGGGGAUGAACCUGGGGUGGGCGUGGCCUUCCUCCCUGGUAGGCUCUCUGUCUCUUCCUCUCAGCCUUUUUGUCUCUUUUUAUUCCCAUUCUAAUUUAUAUAUAUAAAUAUAUACAUACAUACAUAUAUAAAUGUAUAUAUUUUUGAGACAGAGUCUAGCUCUGUCACCAAGGCUGGAGUGCAGUGGCGCAAUCUCGGGUCACUGUAAUCUCUGCUUCUUGGGUUCAAGCAAUUCUCCUGCCUCAGCCUCCUGAGUAGCUGAGAUUACAGGUGCGUGGCACCAUGCCCAGCUAAUUUUUUUUUUUUUUUGUAUUUUUAGUAGAGAUGGGGUUUCACCAAGUUGGUCAGGCUGGUCUCUAACUCCUGACCUCGUGAUCCACCCUCCUUGGCCUCCUAAAGUGCUGGGAUUACAGGCACGAGCCACUGUGCCCGGGCUUCCUUUAUAUUUUUUACUUAAGAAAAGUUUUUUAGAGGCAAGGUCUCACUCUGUUCCCAGGCUGGAGUGUGGUAGCGAGAUCACUGCUCACUACAGCCUUAGCCUCCCAGGCUCAAGUGAUCUUCCUGCCUCAGCCUCACAAGAAGCGGGGACUACAGGCACAUGCCACCACACCGGGCUAAUUUUUGUAUUAUUUUGUAGAGAUGGGGUCUCCCUGUGUUGCCCAGGGUGGUCUCAAACUCCUGAGCUCAUGAGAUUCUCCUGUCUCAACCUCCCCAAGUGUUGGGAUGAAGGUGUGUGCCAGGCUUGGUGCCAACUCUCAUUCUACUUUCAUCUCCUGGGGAGUUGAAUUUAUAAGGGGUGGGGAGACUGAGGGAACCAGCUUCUCCUCAUGAUAACUGAGAAAUAGGGAUUAUCCCCUUCUAAGUGGGGACCAGUGGGCUUAAAGGGCUACAAAUGGAGGAGCUGAGAUUUGAACUCAGGUCUGUUUGACUUUAAAUCCUCAGCCCUUUCUGUGGUGACACUAAAUUCCGUCCUUCAAAGGCUUAGAGAAACACAAGAGGCUAAACACACAGGUCUGUUUCUGAAAACAGACCACUGCGAGUCACUCCCUGGUAACAGAGUAGCUCCCCCAAGGAUGGGAGAGGAGGCCGCAUUCCAUGAGAGGCUGAGCGCAUUUUGGAAGAUAGACAGCAGGUGGGGAGUGGAAACCGGUGUGCCGGGAGAGGAAGCAGCGCUCAGCUGAGUGCCUGAAGAGCAGAGUCCAGUCAAAAGCCAGUCUGUUGGUUCCCCCAGAACCCAGGGACAGCUCAGGAUUUCAGAGGGAUAAGGCAUCUCCCAAGGCAGGGUGUGGUCCAAGGCUGGAAAUAGGGGUGUGGCUUGGGAAUGGGAAUCUCGGAUGUUUAGGUCCCAGGUCUUUCCCACAUGACCAGAGAGAAGCAGCUACAUCUCUGCCAGCCCUGCCCCAUGGGAACCCUGCCCACAGGCCUGAGUACAUUCACUCCCUGGGAGAUUUCAAGGAUCCCUCUGUAAACACCAGCUAUAAGCUGAGGACUCACACAUUUACAUCCAACCCAGACCUCAUUCUAACCUUCCACAUGUGGACCCACUGUCUACACAGCAUUUCCACCAGGGCGUCCAACUGGCAUCCCACAUUUCACGAGGCCAGAGUGCAUUCUUGAUCUCCACCCUGAACCCACCCUCCCCUACUGACUCCCUCCUCAGAAAAUGGCACCAGCAAAUUCCCCACACACAAAAACAGAUGUCACCCGGGACUCUGUCCUUUGACCCAUCACCCAAUCCUCAGCCAACCUGUCAGAUCUACCUUUGUGUAUGUCCCGAAUCCAACCCCAGCUCACCACCUCCACCUCUGCCACCCUGGCUGAGCCACCAUCCCCUCUCACCUGGACCUGGGCAGGAGCCUCCCCUCUACUCUCACCGUUUGUCCUAUUCUUUUUUUUUUCACUUUGUCACCCAGGCUGGAGUGCGAUGGCGUAAUCUUGGCUCACUGCAACAUCUGCCUCCUGGGUUCAAGCGAUUCUCCUUCCUCAGCCUCCAGAGUAGCUGGAAUUACAGGUGCCCACCACUGUGCCCAGCUAAUUUUUUGUAUUUUUAGUAGAGACAGGGUUUCACCAUGUUGGCCAGGCUAGUCUUGAACUCCUGACCUCAGGUGAUCCACCCACCUCGGACUCCCAAAAUGCUGGGAUUACAGGCGUGAGCCACUGCACCCGGCCUUAUUUACUUAUUUUAAAGAGAUAGGGUCUGGCUAUGUUGAUGCUACGGUGACAUAAUCCCAGCUCACUGUAACCUUGAACUCUUGGGCUCCAAUGAUCCUCCCACCUCAGCCUCCCAAGUAGCUAGGACUACAGGCAGGCACCAUUAUACCAGCCUAAUUAAAAAACUGAUUUUUUUUGUGUGCUGGUUAGGGUGGCUCACGCCUGUAAUCCCAGCACUUGGGGAGGCUGAGGUGGGCAGAUCACCUGAGGUUGGGAGUUCGAGACCAGCCUGGGGAAACCCGGUCUCUAUUAAAAAUACAAAGAAAUUAGCUGGGCGUGGUGGUGCAUGCCUGUAAUUCCAGCUACUUGGGAGGCUGAGGCAGGAGAAUCGCUUGAACCCGGGAGGCAGAGGUUGCGGUGAGCCGAGAUUGCACCAUUGCAUUCCAGCCUGAGCAACAAGCGAGAAUUCCUUCUCAAAAAAAACCAAAACCAAAAAAAGUCUUUUUUUUUGGAGAGAAAGAAUCUCACUGUGUUACCAGACUGGUCUCAAACUCCUGGCCUCAAGCAGUUCUCCAGGUGGAAUUACAAAGCGUUGAGCCAUCACACCUGGCCUCAAGAGAUCCUUUAAAGAGUAAUUCUUACCCUGUGCUCCCCUGGCCAAGCCCUCCAGGGGGUCCCAGUUACAUUUACAGUGAAAUUCAGACACACACUGUGGUCUCCCAAUCUCCUGGCACCCGCCCCAACCAUUUCUCAAACAUUUCCCUCUUUACACACCAUUCUCCAGCCACACUGGCCUUCUUCGGGCUUCCUGACCUCCCUGGCCAUGCUCCAGCCUCAGGGAGUUUGUACUUCAAAACUCAGGAAGCAAAACUGUCCUCCAAGAUAAAAUUUGGCUCAAUCAAAUAUUCCCUCCAGUGCUGGGCGCAGUGGCUCACGCCUGUAAUCCCAGCACUUUGGGAGGCCAAGGCAGGUGAAUCACGAGGAGAGGAGUUCAAGACCAUCCUGUUCAACAUGGUAAAACCCUGUGGCUACUAAACAUACAAAAAAAAUUAGCCAGGUGUGGUGGUGGGUGCCUGUAAUCCCAGCUACUCAGGAGGCUGAGGAAGGAGAAUUGCUUGAACCCGGGAGGCGGAGGUCGCAGUGAACCAAGAUUGUGCCAUUGCACUCCAGCCUGGGCAACAGAGUGAGACUCUUUCCUGAUGGCUACAUUAUGCACAAUGGUGCAUGCUCACACACACAUGCAGACACACAGACACACACACCUCUUACUCUUUAUUCUUUUUUUCUUGUAAGCUCACUGCAACCUCCAGCUCCCAGGUUCAAGUGAUUCUCUUGCUUCAGCCUCCUGAGUAGCUGGGACUACAGGCAUGCACCCGGCUAAUAUUUGUAUUUUUAGUAAAGAUAGGGUUUCACUGUGUUGACCAGGCUGGUCUUGAACCCUUGACCUCAAGUGAUCCGUCCGCUUUGGUCUCCCAAAGUGCUGGGAUUACAGGCAUGAGCCCUUGUGCUCUCUUUAUCCUCUUAUUUUGCUUUGUUUUUCUUUGUUUCUUUGUUUUUGUUUUCUUGAGAUGGAGUCUCACUCUGUCACCCAGGCUGGAGUGCAGUGGUGUGAUCUCAGCUCACUGCAACCUCCGUGUUCUGGGAUUCUGGGUUCAAGUGAUUCUACUGCCUCACCCUCCAGAGUAGCUGGGAUUACAGAUGCCCACAACCACGCCUGGCUAAUUUUUAGUAUUUUUAGUAGAGACAGGGUUUCUCCAUGUUGGCCAGGCUGGUCUCGAACUCCUGACCUCAGCUGAUCCACCUGCCUCAUCCUCCCAAAGUGCAGGGAUUACAGGCAUGAGCCACCGUGCCCAGCCUAUUUUUCUUCAUGGAACUUGUCACUACCUGAGAGAGAGAGAGAGAGAGAGAGAGAGAGAGAGAGAGAGAGAGAGAGAGAGAGGAUGUAUACAUAUGCGUAUCAUAUCAUAUCCUAUAUAUCCUAUCUAUCUAUCUAUCUGUCUAAUCUUUUUUUCUAUUUUAUGUUUCUCUUCAGCUGACUAUAAGCUUCAUAGGGCAGGGACUUUGUUCCAUACCGUAGAAAACAUAUUCAGAAAAUAUGAGCACUAUGUUCUGAGCACAUAGUAGGAUCUUUAAAAACAGGAAGGGCAUUGCUGUAUUCUCAGGAACACCAAACAGAGUGACUCUGAGGAGGAGAUACAUAAAAAUGGCAGUCUGCAUGCUGAUGGUGAGACCACUGCUCCCUUCCCCUCCCUGUCUCCUGAGAGCCAGGUUACACUUCCAGGAAUGAGAUUAGAGGACUCUUCAGGAAAAAUUCCGGAGAAUGGUCCUAGACCAAAGAUUGACAUUGAUAACAGAUGAGAAGCCACUAGAUGGCCUUUUAUUCUUGCCUUCCACCCUCCUCCCUUCACCUGCUGUGCGCUAGAAAACACUCUAGGUGCUGGCACUCUGUCUGUAAACAGAAUUGCCAUAGAGCCUCGGCUUGAGGCGCUUUUGUUCCGGUGGGCGUGCCGUUGCAAGCCAGGUGUUCACAGUCACCCAACGGCACUUUGUGUCCCACCUCAUGCAGAAAUGUGACUGGAGAGCCACCAAGGGGAAAACAGACCAAAGUACAGAGAAAAAGAAAUCAAAGGGAAAUAGGAAUCAUUCAGGGAGUAGAAGAAAACCUUUAAAAUGGCAAUUAGUUUUUUUUUUUUUUGAGACGGAGUUUUGCCCUUGUUACCCAGGCUGGAGUGCAAUGGCGCGAUCUCGGCGCACCGCAACGUCCGCCUCCUGGGUUCAGGCAAUUCUCCUGCCUCAGCCUCCUGAGUAGCUGGGAUUACAGGCACGUGCCACCAUGUCCAGCUAAUUUUCUUUGUAUUUUUAGUAGAGACGGGGUUUCAUCAUGUUGACCAGGAUGGUCUCGAUCUCUUGACCUUGUGAUCCACCCGCCUCGGCCUCCCAAAGUGCUGGGAUUACAGGCUUGAGCCACCGCGCCCGGCCAGCAAUUAGUAUUUUUAAACAGG